UACGUAGGGGGCAAGCGUUGUCCGGAAUUAUUGGGCGUAAAGAGCGAUGUAGGCGGUCCGGUAAGUCAGCUGUGAAAGUCAAGGGCUCGAACCCUUGAAAUCGCCGGUUGAUACUGUCGGGCUAGAGUCCGGAAGAGGCGAGUGGAAUUCCUGGUGUAGGCGGUGAAAUGCGCAGAUAUCAGGAGGAACACCAAUGGCGAAGGCAGCUCGCUGGGACGGUACUGACGCUGAGGCGCGAAAGCGUGGGGAGCAAACAGG
rnacentral:rRNA from 1 species